GACGAACGCUGGCGGCGUGCCUAAUACAUGCAAGUAGAACGCUGAAGGAGGAGCUUGCUUCUCCGGAUGAGUUGCGAACGGGUGAGUAACGCGUAGGUAACCUGCCUGGUAGCGGGGGAUAACUAUUGGUAACGAUAGCUAAUACCGCAUAAGAGUAGAUGUCGCAUGACAUUUGCUUAAAAGGUGCAACUGCACCACUACCAGAUGGACCUGCGUUGUGUUAGCUAGUUGGUGAGGAAACGGCCCAUCAAGGCAACGAUACAUAGGCGGCCUGAGAAGGUGAUCCGCCAAACUGGGAACGAGACACGGCCCAAGCCUCUUAGGGAGGGAGGCGGAGGGGAACUUUGGAAAUGGGCGGAAGGCUUAACGAGGCACGGCGGGUGAGGGGAGAAGGGUUUUCGAUUGUAAAGCUCUGUUGUUAGGGAAGAAAGAGUGUGAGAGUGGAAAGUUCACACUGUGACGGUAUCUGACCAGAAAGGGACGGCUAACUACGUG
rnacentral:rRNA from 1 species